AUGAAGACUGGAGCCACACAAUUGAAAAAGGAAAAUGCUCUUCUCACCUGUCCUGGUUGUUUGAGGGCUGGAGGUCUCCCUCUGGGCUCCUGGCAGGCCUCUGUCACUGGAACAUGUGAAAACAGGCGACUCGAGGGGCCGCGCCUCCUGACGCGACUGAGGCCAAGUUGCUCACGCCGCUGGGGACGACAAAGGGGAAGAUUCAGGAAGUUUCGAUUUCUCAAAAGUGAACGCAAUGCGGCCCACGGGCGACGUCCAAAAUCGAUCGCGCGACUUACCGCGUCCCGGCUGACACUUCGCCGUUUGGUCCGGGCACGGGCGGAACAAGGAAGUGACAUGUGGGGAUCGUUCAGAGGAAACGAGAAGUGAAUGGACCUCGCGUGUAAAAACGGGUCUCGGGUCUAUGGAAACGCAGCCUUCAAACUGUGGCACAGCGCGAUGUGUAUGUAUACACAUAUAUAUAUAGUAUAUAUAUAUGUCCUGUUGUAGGGAGACGUGGAGGGGUCGGGAGUGGACCGCGGCGCACUUGGCGGCCCCCUGUGCGUCAGUGCGUCGAGGGGCGGGGCGUGACAGCACCGCGACCGUGUAGUCGGACCGCUUCCUCGUCUCGAGUGCUGUGCGGGACAUACGUGCUGAUGCGAGGGGAAGGUCGCUCAUUCGACAAGACGCACGACGCACGCACUUUCGGAGAGAGGACUUUUCUUCUCCAAUGUCCCAAAUGGUUUAGUUCGACUGUGUACACUGAACACACGUACCAUGGAGUAUUUAAAUAUAAAAUUAAAAAAACACAUUUUCUAUUUUAAAAUAUUGUCCAUAUGUAUGUCCUCGGUUAGUUCCUGUAUGUAUGUUCAAAUUUAUGUUUCAAUUUAAAAAAAAAAAAAGAAGUCUAAAGGAUAAAGGGGCAUAGUUUAUCAAUCAAUAUUUAUUUUCUUUUACAGCUUUCUGGCUGAAAAGUAAAUGCCAUCACACACACACACACACACACAGACACUUAUCUUGUGUCACUAAUCUUGCUCUUCCGACACCCAACUGCGAGGAGGUACAGUACGGCUGCCGGCCCUGCUGGUUGCAGGGAUGUUCCUCCAAACUCCAGCCUGACUACAGUUGAAGUGAAGAAUAAUGUGCAGUUUAAGUACAUUUGCGAUUAUUCAAACAUGUCCUUACCGGCCAUGAGGACUAUACUUUAAAUCCACUCACGUUUUAACAACCCCCAUUAACACGUGGCUGAGAAUGUGAUGUGUCAAGUUAUAAUGACCUUAGUGAGAUAAUAACCUUAUGGAAGACUACAAGUCCCUCAACGACAUCACAUGCACCAGGUGGUGGCAGGAGAUGUAUCAGCGACAACGGGGAGGCCCUUUCUUGGUCUUAGGCUGAGGACAAAGAAUCACAACAAUUGUCUGAAAACUCUUCAAAUCGAAGGCUUUUUAGAUCUCAAUGAGAACAGGGACGAACUUAUGAGACACAAAGAAUCAUCCAUCUAUUGUUAAUAUCUAUCCCAAAAACAGUAUCAACUUUUAGGAAUAAAACACAUUUAGUACACAUUUAAAACAAAACAAACAGGACUGAAAUGUUGAAAUUAUAGAAUCACAUGAAAGGAAUAUACGAGUAGAGAAAGUUGUGGCAUUAAAAUAUGAAUUGGAUAGAAAGGGGCCAGAGAAAAUGAUAUUGAGACCUGAGUAUAUAGAGUUUCCUGACAUGGUGCUUUUGAACUUUUUAUAUAUUCAUAUUUUAAGUGGAGAAAAUACUCUUUUUGGUCUGCAUUCCAUAAGUGGAUUGAAAUGAAAAUUAUAUAUGUAUUUAGUUCUGUUGUGAUGUCAUCUCUCUCUUGACAUGUUUUCUGUAGCUUGCAAUAGGAAAGGCUCUGUGUAAUGAUAUCACCUUUGAAUGUGGAGAUAAUAUAUCUUAAAUAAAAGAUGCCCACUGACAAGCUAAACAUUAGCUGUGCGUGUGCGCGCAUGUGUGUGUGUGUGUUAUGUACAGGUUUUUACUGAUCAAUGACCAAUCGAUUUGCAACAGAGUAAAAGCAGCCACUGCAGGACACAAAA
rnacentral:lncRNA from 1 species